GGGCAAAAGUGUAUUGAUGGUUGGCAGUGUGGUUAGCUGGUUGUGAAAUAUUUACUUGAAUCCACAGCCACUAUCCAAACUGUCCACUGUCGAUGACACGA
rnacentral:pre_miRNA from 1 species